rnacentral:lncRNA from 1 species
AUUUACUUAAUAUAGAAUGGCUAUGUUGGUUAUCCAGGUGGAUCUAUAGUUUUCCUGGUGUCUUGGAGAGACCCUACCUCCACAGCUCCUGCAGGAGCAAAACCAUGUUUUCUGCCAUGUGAGCUCUCUACACUGGCCACAGCUGAUUGUACCAAGGUUCAGUACCCGACCCAAAGAGACUCAUUUUCAGGCCAGAGGGCGGCCUAAGGAAUGAAAGUGUACCUAGCAGUGGUAUUCUUGUUUGAUGGUACCUGGCCCCACCAAUCACGGCCCUCUUUUAGGGAGUUUGAACACCAGAAAGUAAAUGAUGAAUAGGAAGCACAGCCAGAAUAGACACAGUCACCGUAAUGGUGACUCUGAGAACAGUGACAGCAGUUACUUCUGCAGUCAAGACAAUUUGAGGUCUUGUUGAUUCACCAUUCUGCUCUUAGCUUACUGGAGAAAUACUUGACUCCUGAACAAUGAGUCUGGACUUUGUAGUUCCUGGGUUGCUUUUUUUUUUUCUUCCUUUCUUAUGUAUUGACAUAAAUAAACUCA